rnacentral:lncRNA from 1 species
UCAAAUGUAGAAGACGCUAAACAUAUAGGCAUAUCAAAGAGUCUACUACAACAGCUAUGAUGCGACAUCAUGCUCAUACAAAGACAAACCCUACGAACUCUAUUGUUUCCAAUUGUUCCAAAACAAUUGCUGGAACUAAAGUUGAGACUUAUUUUUGAUCAAAAAAAAAAGUUGAAACUUAUUAUAAUUUUAAAAAGGAGGGAGAGUGCCAUCUCGAGGCGACACGAGCACUUUCCCGGCGAUUCCUCCUUCACACAUUUGCACACCAUUGAAAUUCUCCAAAGUUUUUCUUUGGAUUCCCGUGAACCUCUCUUUCUCUCUCUCUUGCUUUCGCGCACCUCAAGAAAUGUCCACCGGUUUUCGUGUUUUCGUUUGUUUCUUUAUUAACAAAACUU